CCUUUAUGAGCGCGGGCCAGCUGGCCGCGUCUCAUCGGUCGGAAGAAGGGGUUUAAGGGUCUAUUUUGUCUCGUCAUCAGCUUCGUGCCGAGGCCGCCUGGGGAGGGUUUAAGGGGUUUAAUUUGGGAGCGAGCGGCGGGAGGAGGCGGAGGCCGCAGCGGAGCGGCCGUGCGGCACUGGGUGGUACAGGCACCUGCUGACGAAGUAGGGCGAGGGGAGGGGUGAGGUACUGGCGACCGCCACGCCGAGAGUGGGGACGGACAGGGUCGAUCUAGACCUGCUGGCGCGCCGACGGCCAAGACCGUGCCGCCCGCUCCCUCGGCGGAGCGUACCGCAGGGGUCUGCGUAGGACGCCUAGGGGAUUGGCGGGUGAGCGGCAGGGGGGCUGCGCGGAGGGAGGAGGAGGGGAGCUAGGCGACGGACGAUACAUAUUCCCCUUACGGAAGGGUCUCCUCCUCGGUUUCGUUGUGGUUCAGGUUCAAAGUGCACGGCGAAGUUUCCCCUCUAUACGUUCCAAAUUUCUCUUAAACUUACGGUUCGGUGUCCUCUGUUUCGUUGUAGCGGUAGUUCAACGGCAGAGUACGCGGCGAAGUUUUCCCUCCUCAGCUCGACCAACCUACAGGUACCUCUCCUCGUGAGGACUUCCAUAGUUGUACCUCCUUGUACGAAGCUCCAAAGUCGGAAACGGGGACGGGUCUAAAUGCUCACUGAACCUGGCCCGAUGGCAGCCUUAAGGUCAACAUUACGCUUUCUCUUUCGGAGGCCUCCACUCCUUACGCGAGGCACUUUCUUCUCAGCGCUGGUUUGUUUUCCUGCGUGCGAUGGUACGCCUCCACCGGAACGCAUUUAUGUUGUCUCGGUUGUUGUGGUUCAAACUUGACCACUUCCAUUUUCACUAUAGAUAUAAAAUACUCAAACCUCCCCGGCCGCGGGUAAUAUUGAAGUGUCGAUUCGUCGGACUCCUCGUUGUAAGACGACUACGGCUGUCAUGGUUCGAUAAGAAGAGACUUCAGGUGGACUUAAAAGCCUCACUCUUACUACACUAAUACACGACAUAUCAACCCCUUUUACUGCGUCCCGUAACGAUACCGACACUUUUGAUGGUCGGACAAUAAGUGGGUUCGUCGGUUCGUAUGCCGCCGCCAUCAUCGUGAACAUAACUGAUAGGAACGAGUCUGCCGCUAUCGCUGUCGCUGAUCAUUACAUCGUGAACUUCGGGCCACCGGCCGCGAACGAACACACCGGUCAGAAGAGCCCACACAUAACUGAACAAACGUUAAGACGCUCUUAUAGGUUAGCGUACCUCAUUUACCUACUUGAACUCUUUACACAGCAACCUACCUCUGGGCUCAGAGUUGACUUACAACCGAACACACUGGUUAGGUUAUUACUGUAAACGAUAACACCAAACGCAGAACCGGACUCUUUUAUACGUGAUGCCACUCAUUUACCUCAAUACAUCUGUACCC
rnacentral:rRNA from 1 species